rnacentral:tRNA from 1 species
GAAAUAUGGUGCCCAAGGGGAAGCUGCUAACUUUUCCCUUUAGUGGUUUAAUUCCAUUAAUAUUUCU